rnacentral:misc_RNA from 1 species
AAGGAUCAUUACAGAGUUGAGGUGGCUCCGCGGCGAGGUCCUUCGGGGCUCGAGUCGCGUGGUCAUGCUCCUCACCACCCGUGUUUACCUUACCUGUUGCUUCGGCGGGCCCGCCGCUUGUCGGCCGCCGGGGGACGUUUGUCCCCGGGCCCGUGCCCGCCGAAGACCCCCCGAACACUGCCUGAAGGUUGCUGUCUGAGUGGUCGAAAUAAACAAAACAAAACUUUCAACAACGGAUCUCUUGGUUCCG